GAGUUUGAUCCUGGCUCAGGACGAACGCUGGCGGCGUGCCUAAUACAUGCAAGUCGAGCGAAUGUCUUAAGAAGCUUGCUUCUUGAGAUGUUAGCGGCGGACGGGUGAGUAACACGUGGGCAACCUGCCCUGUAGUUGGGGAUAACUCCGGGAAACCGGGGCUAAUACCGAAUAAUACAUUUCAUCUCCUGAUGGAAUGUUGAAAGAUGGUUUACGCUAUCGCUACAGGAUGGGCCCGCGGCGCAUUAGCUAGUUGGUGAGGUAAUGGCUCACCAAGGCGACGAUGCGUAGCCGACCUGAGAGGGUGAUCGGCCACACUGGGACUGAGACACGGCCCAGACUCCUACGGGAGGCAGCAGUAGGGAAUCUUCCACAAUGGGCGAAAGCCUGAUGGAGCAACGCCGCGUGAGUGAAGAAGGUUUUCGGAUCGUAAAACUCUGUUGUAAGGGAAGAACAAGUACAGUAGUAACUGGCUGUACCUUGACGGUACCUUAUUAGAAAGCCACGGCUAACUACGUGCCA
rnacentral:rRNA from 2 species